AAGAGAUAUGAGCAGGGAAUAAGAUCCAAGAAGCAAAAAUCAUAUCCCAUGCUUGCAUCAGAACACAAAACAACACAAAGUACAACAUCUUGGCAUACAGAAAAGCAACAAAGGAAUUGCAUAGUUAUAAACAUCAGCAAUGUAUCUUGUCAUAGCACUUAAUCAAAUGUCAGACACCGUAAUAACACUGUCUGAUCUGUUAGACAUUGUUAAAUGGCUUUCAUCCCUUCCCCUCAGUAUUCUCUUGUGAGGUCCAGCAGCGCCUAGAUUUCUAUUAUUUAAUUUUUUUUUCUUCCUAUAGAAAUGGUCUGAGAUUUCCAAGGCUUUAAAUGGGUUCACACUUUUGAAAUCAACUAACAGUGGAGGCUGCAGAAAAACCUUGACAACUUAAAAAAAAAAUAAAAAAAGCUGGACAAAAGGGAUUUCCACUGAAGCAAUCACCAGUAAGAAAUCUGGCUAUUUAAUACUUGUUAAUUUAACACUUAAGACACAACAUUAUGGCAAACAAUGUUCUGGAAAAACAAACACAUCCUAAAAACUCCUUACUGCAUCCUGAUGCACUUGUUACCAAGGAAGGGAUUGUUUACAUUAAUUUUACACCUGGAGGGGAAGGAGGAAUUUUAAGAUAUGGGAGCUAAAGUGGCAAACUGUAGAAGGUGGCAUUUUCAAAAUCAUACUUCUAAGGAAUGUAUCUGAAUACAUCCCUUCACUUUCAUGGAUCACUUGUCCUGCCAAGGAGGGAAGUUCGCUAAAUUGCCACAGCUUCUCAAGUAUGAUGGAUGGUGGCCUAGCCAAUUGCUCUGUCAGUUCCCUCAGGACCCACAGGCAUCAGGUCCCAUGGACUUGUGCACCUUCAGGUUCCUUAAAUGGUCUCAAACCUGACCCUCUCUGAGAGUAAGCAGUGCUUCACUCUUCUUGACCCUGCCUCUGCCCUCUGCAACUUGGGCCAUGUGGUUAGAGAACCUUUGGGUUGGUUGAUUGAAACUCUUCAGCGUGUUUUGGAACAAGGAAACUCUUCAGAAGUUUCACAGGUUCUCUUUAAUACCUCACUCAAGUUUAAUGCCUUGGAUGACUACACUCUGAGAGUGGCACCUGGACAGAUCAUUAAUCUGUGCACCUUAAACAAAGCCCACCUUCUGCCUCUUCCCCUGUCUCUGCUUUCCUGAACAUGUCCCCUUCUGCACUCACCCUACAACUCAAAAUGGAGACUUCUCAAGGAGCACAAGAGAUCAAGAGUAAGCACAGUGGGCAGAAGUUCUGGAUCAGCCAUCAACCACAUGUCUCAAACACAUCACAAGUUUUUGUUCCUGCCCCCACAGUACUGGGAAUUUCCACUCUCCUCAGCUGCAGUACAAGCCAGGAGAACUGUUUAUACGGCUGUGCAAGCCUCCCCCUCGAUCAGAGGGAGCACCAGCUGUGUUUUGUGGGGUGCUGGUCUGGAGUUCCACACAAAAGUAGUGCUGCACCUGGGCAAAGUCCCACCCCCUCUGUUCAGCUGCACUGCAGGCACAACUUACACCUGCACACGUUGAUACCUUAGAGAUCUUGGAAUGUUUUGCUAAAGCGGACUCCACCAAGGAAAAAAUCAGUUCCUGAAUGCAAAAGCCUUUCAAAAGACAUAAUUGAAUCUUACUAAUUUCUGAGCUUACAGGAAGAGCAAGCAAGGGCUUGUGCUGCAGCAUUUAGAAGGGUUCUAUUAGGAAACUGUUCUGAUUAUUUUAAUGCACAAAAAAAACCCCAAAAAAAAGGCAGGGGGGUGGAAA